rnacentral:rRNA from 1 species
AUUGAACGCUGGCGGCAGGCCUAACACAUGCAAGUCGAACGGUAACAUGAAGAAGCUUGCUUCUUUGCUGACGAGUGGCGGACGGGUGAGUAAUGUCGGGGAAACUGCCUGAUGGAGGGGGAUAACUACUGGAAACGGUAGCUAAUACCGCAUAAUGUCGCAAGACCAAAGAGGGGGACCUUCGGGCCUCUUGCCAUCGGAUGUGCCCAGAUGGGAUUAGCAAGUAGGUGGGGUAACGGCUCACCUAGGCGACGAUCCCUAGCUGGUCUGAGAGGAUGACCAGCCACACUGGAACUGAGACACGGUCCAGACUCCUACGGGAGGCAGCAGUGGGGAAUAUUGCACAAUGGGCGAAAGCCUGAUGCAGCAAUGCCGCGUGUAUGAAGAAGGCCUUCGGGUUGUAAAGUACUUUCAGCGGGGAGGAAGGAAGUAAAGUUAAUACCUUUGCUCAUUGACGUUACCCGCAGAAGAAGCACCGGCUAACUCCGUG